GACGAACGCUGGCGGCGUGCUUAACACAUGCAAGUCGAACGGAAAGGCCUGCUUUCCCUUGUGGAUUGCGGGUACUCGAGUGGCGAACGGGUGAGUAACACGUGAGUGAUCUGCCCCCAACUUGGGUAUAAGCCUGGGAAACUGGGUCUAAUUCCCGAUAGGACUGCAGGGUGGUGCCUGUGGUGGAAAACGAUUUUCUAGUGGUUGGGGAUGAGCUCGCGGCCUAUCAGCUUGUUGGUGGGGUAAUGGCCUACCAAGGCGGCGACGGGUAGCCGGCCUGAGAGGGUGGACGGCCACAUUGGGACUGAGAUACGGCCCAGACUCCUACGGGAGGCAGCAGUGGGGAAUAUUGCACAAUGGGCGGAAGCCUGAUGCAGCGACGCCGCGUGGGGGAUGACGGCCUUCGGGUUGUAAACUCCUUUCGACCGCGAGGAAGCCACCUGGUUGGAAGGGUGGCGACGGUAGUGGUAGAAGAAGCACCGGCUAACUACGUG
rnacentral:rRNA from 1 species